GGGGGCGGGAGGCGCGAGGCGCGGCUGCGCCCAGCACUGGCCCCACCUCCCACGCGCCCGCGGGAGAUUUGCUUGGGGCUGGAUCCCCCGCCUACCGUUUCCCCGCAGCCGCCGGCGCUUCUGGCGCUUGUGACCCGAGCAGGAAGCCCAGAGAGAAACCAGAAAGACAGGAAGGGGAUUCCUGGACUUCCUUUCCACAUCCGGCAGGAACGCGACCCUCCUCCAGCUAGGAGCGCUUGUCCGGUUCAAAGAAAUCACUUUUCUAACAAGAGGCCUGAAAGAGCAGACAGUAAAACACAGAAAAGACAGCUGGGACACAGAAGGACUGGGGUGGACAGCCGAGAGUCUCCCGGGCGCACCAAGAUGCCUGCAGCUUCAAGAAGAUGUAUGGGAACAGACACAGAAACUUUCCCUACCAGAUAAGCAGGACAAAGAAACACAGACUAAGAGUUGGCCUGUGUGGUCACGGAGUGGGUUAAGAGAUGAUAAAAAAAUCUGCUCUGUACAGAUGGCACACCUGGUCCCAACUAAACCCUGGGGCCCUAGAAAGAUAAGACAUCCCCUCCUCACAAGCCCCUCCUCAAGAGCCCCCUCCUCAAGAGCCCAUUUAUAAAAACUCUGACAUUCUUAACUACAACUUGGCAAUCUUCUCAGGAUCCCUCUCUAACAGAGACCUGUUCUUUCCUUUUGCCUAUUAAACUCCUGCUCCAAAC
rnacentral:lncRNA from 1 species